rnacentral:rRNA from 1 species
CCUCUCACUGUUGUGGCCUCUCCCGUUGUGGAGCACAGGCUCUGGAGGCACAGGCUCAGCGGCCAUGGCUCACGGGCCCAGCCGCUCCGCAGCAUGUGGGAUCUUCCCGGACCAGGGCAUGAACCCGUGUACCCUGCAUUGGCAGGCGGACUCUCAACCACUGCACCACCAGGGAAGCCCUAAGCAUUUUUUUUAAUAUAAGCAUUCUUAAGAUCACUUUUCCAUAAGCUAUGAGAAUGUCCCCAGAGCAUUUUCUCUGGUUCUCUUAUAUGCUUGUGGAUUUUUAUUUGUUUGUUUCCAUUUUAUUUUUCUUUUUUAAUUGAAAGUUGCAAAAGCUUAACAUUAGGAUCAGGCAAAAUCUUAUAUUCAUUUCCCAUACCAGCAGCUUCACUUCCAGAAGGUUAAGGGUCCUAAGGGUUUAAAGCUUCAUCUACCACAAACGUUCUCAAUUCUUCUUGCACCUUAGAAUCACCUGGGGAGUUUAAACAACUCCCAAUGCUUCUGUGCCACUGCCACCAGAGAUUCUGAUUGGCCACGGAUGGGGCCCAGGAAUGGCAAUUUAGAAGCUCCAGAGUGGAUUCUAAUAUGUAAGCAGGGUUGAGAAGCUCUCUCUUUAUUCUUUUUUUAUUUUUUUUGGGGGGGGGGGUCUUUUAACAUCCUUUACAUUUUAUACAAUCUUCAUAUACUUUUAAAUAGCUAAUUUCAAUGGGAGAUUUGUUAAGCCAAAGAAAAAUAUUUAGAGUUUCAUAAUAUGUAGAUUUGUUCAAGUUUUCAUGUAAAUCCUGUGUUUUCAAGCAAUAUUAAUUUAUUACUCAAUUAUGAUAAAUAUUCACAGUAAGUGGACUAAACUGUUUUCUCAGAAUUUACACUUUUAAAUGUUUCCUACUGUACUUAACAUCCUCCACUAGGUACCACAAUGCUAGGUAUCUUCAAUGCUAAACAUUUUAUAUUAUACAUGCCAAUAAAUUAUAAAAACAAUUUAUUGGCAUAUAUAUAUAUAUAUAUAUUUAUAUAUAUAAAUUUGGAAGUAAUUAGUUCCUAAAUAUUCUUUUUAAAUGUGCUUCUACUUUAAAUUCAGUCUUCCACCAAGCUGAACAGGUGAUUGGUACAAAGGUAAUUUAAUGAAAAUUGCUCUUUAAAGAAAGCUUACUUCACAAAGGCCAGUGAUGGGUGUUGACAUGAUGUGAUUUCUGCCCAGUGCUCUGAAUGUCAAAGUGAAGAAAUUCAGUGAAGCUUGGGUAAAUGGUGGGAGUAACUAUGACUCUCUUCAGGUAGCCAAAUACCUUGUCAUCUAAUUAGUGGUGCACAUGAAUGAAUGAAUGAGAUUCCCAUUGUCCCUACCUACUAUCCAGCGAAAACACAACCAAGGGAACAGGCUUGGUGGAAUCAGAGGAGAAAGAAGACCUUGUAGAGCUUAACUCUAGUCUGGCAUGGUGAAAAGAAUGAGAGAUGUAGAAUAAGUGGGAGGCCACUGGCACACUCCGGUCCCUGUGAGAGGGUGGGGUGGGGUCCACCGGACUUGCAGGCUGCCAGUGAAAUACCACUACUCUGAUCAUUUUUUCACUGACCUGGUGAGGUGGGGGAGGAGGGGGGCUAGCCCCGAGGGGCUUUUGCUUCUGGAACCGAGUGCCCAGACACACUCUGGCCAUGAGUGACCCACUCCAAGGACAGUGCCAGUUAGGGAGUUUGACUGGGGUGGUACAACUGUCAAAUGGUAAUGUAGGUGUCCUAAGGGGAGUUCAGGGAGGACAGAAACUUCUUGUGGAGCAGAAGGGCAAAAGCUCACUUGAUCUUGAUUUUCAGUAUGAAUACAGAGCAUGAAGGUGGGGCCUCAAAAUUCUUCUGACCUUUGGGGUUUUAAGCAGGACGUGUCUGAAAAAUUACCACAAGGAUAAUUGACAGUAACACAAUAAUAGUAGGGAACUUUAACACCCCACUCACAACAAUGGACAGAUUAUCCAAACAGAAAAUAAAUAAGGAAACACAAAGUUUAAAUGACACAUUAGACCAGAUGGACUUAAUUGAUACUUAUAGGACAUUCCAUCCAAAAACAACAGAAUACACUUUCUUCGCAAGUGCAUGUGGAACAUUAUGCAGGAUAGAUCACAUCUUGGGUCACAACUUAAGCAUAGGUAAAUUUAAGAAAACUGAAAUCACAUCAAGCAUCUUUU